rnacentral:rRNA from 1 species
CGGCAAUAGCCUAAAACUCAAAGGACUUGGCGGUGCUUUACAUCCCUCUAGAGGAGCCUGUUCUAUAAUCGAUAAACCCCGAUAAACCUCACCAAUUCUUGCUAAUACAGCCUAUAUACCGCCAUCUUCAGCAAACCCUUAAAAGGAACAAAAGUAAGCAUAAUCACAACACAUAAAAACGUUAGGUCAAGGUGUAGCCCAUGGAAUGGAAAGAAAUGGGCUACAUUUUCUAUAUCAAGAA